GAUGGACGCUGGCGGCGUGCCUAAUACAUGCAAGUCGAGCGAACGGACGAGAAGCUUGCUUCUCUGAUGUUAGCGGCGGACGGGUGAGUAACACGUGGAUAACCUACCUAUAGGACUGGGAUAACUUCGGGAAACCGGAGCUAAUACCGGAUAAUAUUUUGAACCGCAUGGUUCAAAAGUGAAAGACGGUCUUGCUGUCACUUAUAGAUGGAUCCGCGCUGCAUUAGCUAGUUGGUAAGGUAACGGCUUACCAAGGCAACGAUGCAUAGCCGACCUGAGAGGGUGAUCGGCCACCCUGGAACUGAGACACGGGCCAGACUCCUACGGGAGGCAGCAGUAGGGAAUCUUCCGCAAUGGGCGAAAGCCUGACGGAGCAACGCCGCGUGAGUGAUGAAGGUCUUCGGAUCGUAAAACUCUGUUAUUAGGGAAGAACAUAUGUGUAAGUAACUGUGCACAUCUUGACGGUACCUAAUCAGAAAGCCACGGCUAACUACGUG
rnacentral:rRNA from 1 species